GACAGAGGAGCCAAGCGUUGUCCGGAUUGACUGGGCGUAAAGCGCACGCAGGCGGUCGUGCACGUGGGGUGUGAAAACUGGCGGCUUAACUGCCAGAGGCCACCUCAUACGGCGCGACUCGAGCCCUGCAGAGGUCCAUGGAAUUGCCGGUGUAGUGGUGAAAUGCGUAGAGAUCGGCAGGAACACCCAGGGGGAAACCAGUGGACUGGGCAGGAGCUGACGCUCAGGUGCGAAAGCGUGGGGAGCGAACCGG
rnacentral:rRNA from 1 species